rnacentral:guide_RNA from 1 species
CAUCAAGAGUAUCUAAUAAGGUCAUGGUAGUUAAU